CCUACGGGUGGCAGCAGUCGAGAAUCAUUCACAAUGGGGGAAACCCUGAUGGUGCGACGCCGCGUGGGGGAAUGAAGGUCUUCGGAUUGUAAACCCCUGUCAUGUGGGAGCAAAUUAAAAAGAUAGUACCACAAGAGGAAGAGACGGCUAACUCUGUGCCAGCAGCCGCGGUAAUACAGAGGUCUCAAGCGUGGUUCGGAAUCACUGGGCGUAAGGCGUGCGUAGGCUGUUUCGUAAGUCGUGUGUGAAAGGCGCGGGCUCAACCCGCGGACGGCACAUGAUACUGCGAGACUAGAGUAAUGGAGGGGGAACCGGAAUUCUCGGUGUAGCAGUGAAAUGCGUAGAUAUCGAGAGGAACACUCGGGGCGAAGGCGAGUUCCUGGACAUUAACUGACGCUGAGGCACGAAGGCCAGGGGAGCGAAAGGGAUUAGAUACCCGUGUAGUC
rnacentral:rRNA from 1 species